AAUUAGCGCGAACACAGCGGUUUAUUAAUUAAACAAAGAUAUUCACACCAUUAACAGAACGAAAGAAAACAAAGAUAUUCACACCAUUAACAGAGUGAAAGAAAACAAAGAUAUUCACACCAGAGGGAAUAAUAGAAAGACAGAGAGAUGGACAGACAGGUAGGUAGAUGUAAGGCUAAGAGUGACGUCAUUCUGCAUUCAGAUCUCAUUGUUUAUAGGUCUGUAACAGCUAAUGGUAUAGAAUAACAGCAGGAUGAGGGGAGCGUGGGGAGCGUGUCUAUGAUUUGGGGAUGAAGGUUACUCCUGAUUUGGGGACAGAGGGUGAAGGUUUCUCCUGAUUUGGGGACAGAGGGUGAAGGUUUCUCCUGAUUUGGGGACAGAGGGUGAAGGUUUCUCCUGAUUUGGGGAUGGGAGGUGAAGGUUACACCUGAUAUGGGGAUGGGGGGUGAAGGUUUCUCCUGAUUUGGGGACAGAGGGUGAGGGUUACUCCUGAUUUGGGGACAGAGGGUGAAGAUUUCUCCUGAUUUGUGGAUGGGGGGGUGAAGAUUUCUCCUGAUUUGUGGAUGGGGGGUGAAGGUUUCUCCUGAUUUGGGGACGGGGGGUGAAGGUUUCUCCUGAUUUGGGGACAGAGGGUGAAGGUUACUCCUGAUUUGGGGACAGAGGGUGAAGGUUUCUCCUGAUUUGGGGAUGGGAGGUGAAGGUUACUCCUGAUUUGGGGACAGAGGGUGAAGGUUAUUCCUGAUUUGGGGACAGAGGGUGAAGGUUACUCCUGAUUUGGGGACAGAGGGUGAAGGUUACUCCUGAUUUGGGGACAGAGGGUGAAGGUUACUCCUGAUUUGGGGAUUGGGGGUGAAGGUUACUCCUGAUUUGGGGAUGGGGGUGAAGGUUUCUCCUGAUUUGGGGAUGGGGGGUGAAGGUUACUCCUGAUUUGGGGACGGAGGGUGAAGGUUACUCCUGAUUUGGGGACGGG